UACGAAGGGUGCAAGCGUUGUUCGGAAUUACUGGGCGUAAAGCGCGCGUAGGCGGUUUACUAAGUCAGACGUGAAAGCCCUGAGCUUAACUCGGGAAUGGCGUUUGAUACUGGUAAACUAGAGAUUCAGAGAGGUGAGUGGAAUUCCUAGUGUAGAGGUGAAAUUCGUAGAUAUUAGGAGGAACAUCAGUGGCGAAGGCGGCUCACUGGCUGAAUACUGACGCUAAGGCGCGAAAGCGUGGGGAGCAAACAGG
rnacentral:rRNA from 1 species